rnacentral:rRNA from 1 species
UACAGAGGGUGCGAGCGUUAUUCGGAAUUACUGGGCGUAAAGCGUGCGUAGGCGGCUUGUUAAGUCUGGUGUGAAAGCCCGGGGCUCAACCUGGGAAUUGCAUUGGAUACUGGCGAGCUAGAGUGCGGUAGAGGAUAGCGGAAUUCCCGGUGUAGCGGUGAAAUGCGUAGAGAUCGGGAGGAACAUCUGUGGCGAAGGCGGCCAUCUGGACCAGCACUGACACUGAGGCCCGAAAGCGUGGGGAGCAAACAGG